UACGGAGGGUGCAAGCGUUAAUCGGAUUUAUUGGGCGUAAAGGGGGUGUAGGCGGGAGCGUAAGUCAGAUGUGAAAUUCCGGAGCUCAACUUCGGAGCUGCAUUUGAAACUGCGUUUCUUGAGGGUAGGCGGAGAAAACAGAAUUCCACAAGUAGCGGUGAAAUGCGUAGAUAUGUGGAAGAAUACCGGUGGCGAAGGCGGUUUUCUAGCUUAUUCCUGACGCUGAGACCCGAAAGCUGGGGGAGCAAACAGG
rnacentral:rRNA from 1 species